GAAAUUUAUCAAAUUAUAUGCAUAUAUUUUAUCAUCUCUUUUUUAAAUGAAUAUAUUUAAAUACAUUUUGACGGCUACGGAAAACGAAAUCCGGCAGCCAAUAAGAGAGAGUUUGGAAAAAACAUGGCGGUCAAGAUCGAAAUGUAAACAAAGCGAUUCAUUUAGGCGCUCGGCUAUCAUCAUAAAAACAUUAAAUAAUAUUGUGAUAAAUUUAAAGCAUGCAAGGAAGAAAUUUAUCCUAAAGGUUCAGAUUCUAAAUAUAAUUAGAACUACGGCUUCUUUACAAUAUCGGAGUCCCUAGAAUCAGCUGUUUGCAUUAGCCGGUGGCCAAAUAGCUACCACCUG
rnacentral:lncRNA from 1 species